UUAUACUAUGUUGCAAGUUACGGGAGAUCCGCUAACUCCGGGGCUAGUCAUGUCCUUAGAGAGAGAAAAUACAAUCUCUUAUUCAUUAUACUGAAUACUGUCAGGAAAUUCUGUCAUGUAAGGUGAACAAAAUGGAGAAUUCUGUCAUAGUGUGAGAUUAAAAUGGAGUUAGUACAAUAAUUCAAUACAGGUUCUAAUAAAGAUUUUAAUAAUUCUACAUCAGUUCGAGCUGGGUGAAUAAGAGAGUUGAAGGUAUCAAAGAGUCGCCUGGGAUUGCGUGAGCAUGAACUGACGAGAGAGGAAAGGUUUGAUUGUUUAGCAAGGGUGAGGGCUAUGCUGUACAAAUGCAACAUGAAUUUAUAAUGGAGAAAGUCUGACAAGGUGCGGGACUUCCUCCAGCAGAACAGGAGCAUCUCUGCAGGUAGCUAAAUGACUUUGUGUACCACAUUUGAAGGAGCGUCUUCCUUGAGGUGCAUGUCUGGAGCGGGGCUGCAGCUUCAACUAGCUCUUUUCCCACUGUCUUACCAUUUCCGAUCAGCCAUUACUAGACCUCAACUGGUGGACACAAGUCAUCUGCUUGCAUGUUGCGCAGAAGAGGUCUUCAAUCACAUUUUACAGCAGAGAUGAAAAGAUCUAUGGAAUGACAGUGCUGCUUUAAACAUCUCCUACAAGAUUAGAGUUUCCUACCUGAGUGACUACAGUGAA